UCUCCGUAGGUGAACCUGCGGAGGGAUCAUUACAAAGUUCUCGCCCCCCCGCGUAGACCUCCCACCCACUGUGAUUGAUACUGUGUUGCUUUGGCGGGCCUCCGCGCCUUGCCCGUCCGCCGGCUCCGGCUGGCGCCCGCCCGCAAGAGCCUCCGCAAACUAUGAGUGUCAGUGUCGAAUGAGUACUAUAUAAUAGUUAAAACUUUCAGCAACGGAUCUCUUGGUUCUG
rnacentral:misc_RNA from 1 species